GCCCGGGUGGUGGAAUCGGUAGACACGCAGGACUUAAAAUCCUGUCCGCAGAAAUGUGGGUGCGGGUUCAAGUCCCGCCCCGGGUAC
rnacentral:tRNA from 1 species